UCGAGAAUCUUCGGCAAUGGACGCAAGUCUGACCGAGCGACGCCGCGUGCGGGAUGAAGGCCCUCGGGUUGUAAACCGCUGUCAGAGGGGAUGAAAUUUUGACAGAUCCUCAGAGGAAGUACGGGCUAAGUUCGUGCCAGCAGCCGCGGUAAGACGAACCGUACAAACGUUAUUCGGAAUCACUGGGCUUAAAGGGUGCGCAGGCGGCGCGGAAAGUUGGGUGUGAAAUCCCUCGGCUCAACCGAGGAACUGCGCCCAAAACUACCGUGCUUGAGGGAGACAGAGGUGAGCGGAACUUAGGGUGGAGCGGUGAAAUGCGUUGAUAUCCUAAGGAACACCGGUGGCGAAAGCGGCUCACUGGGUCUCUUCUGACGCUCAUGCACGAAAGCUAGGGGAGCGAACGGGAUUAGAUACCCGCGUAGUCC
rnacentral:rRNA from 1 species